UGUCCCAUUAAACCUCCCCCAUGAGAUCUUUAACAAGCAACGUUUGCAUAGAAUAAAUAGGAUGCACAACUUAUUCUCUUUAAAUUACCUAUCCAUUCUAUAGAACUUACCGAAUGUAACUUUCUCACAUGCCUUAAAAAUGUUAAAAAAAUAAGAAUCAUUUUCGUAAAGAGAUUUAACAUGUUCACCUAAAGCAUUGAGUAAAGCAUACCUUCUUGAAAGUGCAUCUGCCACAACAUUCUCUUUGCCUUGCUUGUACUUAAUCA
rnacentral:lncRNA from 1 species